CCUACGGGAGGCAGCAGUGAGGAAUAUUGGUCAAUGGGCGAGAGCCUGAACCAGCCAAGUCGCGUGAAGGAUGAAGGAUCUAUGGUUUGUAAACUUCUUUUAUAUGGGAAUAAAGUGAGGAAAGUGUUCCUUUUUGUAUGUACCAUAUGAAUAAGCAUCGGCUAACUCCGUGACAGCAGCCGCGGUAAUACGGAGGAUGCGAGCGUUAUCCGGAUUUAUUGGGUAUAAAGGGUGCGUAGGUGGAUAAUUAAGUCAUCGGUGAAAGUUUGUGGCUCAACCAUAAGAUUGCCGUUGAAACUGGUUGACUUGAGUAUGUUUGAGGUAGGCGGAAUGCGUGGUGUAGCAGUGAAAUGCAUAGAUAGCA
rnacentral:rRNA from 1 species